rnacentral:rRNA from 2 species
UACGGAGGGGGCUAGCGUUGUUCGGAAUUACUGGGCGUAAAGCGCACGUAGGCGGAUUGGAAAGUUGGGGGUGAAAUCCCGGGGCUCAACCCCGGAACUGCCUUCAAAACUCCCAGUCUGGAGGUCGAGAGAGGUGAGUGGAAUUCCGAGUGUAGAGGUGAAAUUCGUAGAUAUUCGGAGGAACACCAGUGGCGAAGGCGGCUCACUGGCUCGAUACUGACGCUGAGGUGCGAAAGCGUGGGGAGCAAACAGG